GACGAACGCUGGCGGCGUGCUUAACACAUGCAAGUCGAACGGAAAGGCCCUGCUUUUGUGGGGUGCUCGAGUGGCGAACGGGUGAGUAACACGUGAGUAACCUGCCCUCGACUUUGGGAUAACUUCAGGAAACUGGGGCUAAUACCUGAUAGGAGCUCCUGCUGCAUGGCGGGGGUUGGAUAGUUGCGGCGGUUGGGGAUGGACUCGCGGCUUAUCAGCUUGUUGGUGUGGUAGUGGCUUACCAAGGCUUUGACGGGUAGCCGGACUGAGAGGGUGACCGGCCACAUUGGGACUGUGAUACGGCACAGACUACUACGGGAGGCAGCAGUGGGGAAUAUUGCACGAUGGGCGGAAGCCUGAUGCAGCAACGACGCGUGCGGGAUGACGGCCUUCGGGUUGUAGACCGCUUUCGCGUGUGACGAAGCGUGAGUGACGGUAAUGGGUAAAGAAGCACCGGCUAACUACGUG
rnacentral:rRNA from 1 species